rnacentral:rRNA from 1 species
GAUGAACGCUGGCGGCGUGCCUAAUACAUGCAAGUCGAGCGAACAGACGAGGAGCUUGCUCCUCUGACGUUAGCGGCGGACGGGUGGGUAACACGUGGAUAACCUACCUAUAAGACUGGGAUAACUUCGGGAAACCGGAGCUAAUAACGGAUAAUAUAUUGAACCGCAUGGUUCAAUAGUGAAAGACGGUUUUGCUGUCACUUAUAGAUGGAUCCGCGCCGCAUUAGCUAGUUGGUAAGGUAACGGCUUACCAAGGCAACGAUGCGUAGCCGACCUGAGAGGGUGAUCGGCCACACUGGAACUGAGACACGGUCCAGACUCCUACGGGAGGCAGCAGUAGGGAAUCUUCCGCAAUGGGCGAAAGCCUGACGGAGCAACGCCGCGUGAGUGAUGAAGGUCUUCGGAUCGUAAAACUCUGUUAUUAGGGAAGAACAAAUGUGUAAGUAACUAUGCACGUCUUGACGGUACCUAAUCAGAAAGCCACGGCUAACUACGUG